AUUGAACGCUGGCGGCAGGCUUAACACAUGCAAGUCGAGCGGGGGAAGGUAGCUUGCUACCGGACCUAGCGGCGGACGGGUGAGUAAUGCUUAGGAAUCUGCCUAUUAGUGGGGGACAACAUCUCGAAAGGGAUGCUAAUACCGCAUACGUCCUACGGGAGAAAGCAGGGGAUCUUCGGACCUUGCGCUAAUAGAUGAGCCUAAGUCGGAUUAGCUAGUUGGUGGGGUAAGGGCCUACCAAGGCGACGAUCUGUAGCGGGUCUGAGAGGAUGAUCAGCCACACUGGGACUGAGACACGGCGCAGACUCCGACUGGAGGAAGCAGUGGGGAAUAUUGGACAAUGGGGGGAACCCUGAGCCAGCCAUGCCGCGUGUGUGAAGAAGGCCUUAUGGUUGUAAAGCACUUUAAGCGAGGAGGAGGCUACUUUAGUUAAUACCUAGAGAUAGUGGACGUUACUCGCAGAAUAAGCACCGGCUAACUCUGUGCCAGCCGCCGCAGUAA
rnacentral:rRNA from 1 species